CCAAGUCAACAACUCAAGUCAAAAUCAUCAAGUGUAUUAAAAUUCACAAAAAAUGUAAUUAAAAAUGAAUAAAAAAUGGAAAUUAAAGAGAAUAUCUCAAACUAUGAUCAAAAUGAUGCAAAAAUGGUUGCAAAAAUUACACAAAGUCCCAAAUAUUAUGUGUAAAUAGAUCUCAAAGGUUGGAUGCAAAAAGGUUUGGAAAAGGUUAAAAAAC
rnacentral:lncRNA from 1 species